rnacentral:rRNA from 1 species
CCUACGGGAGGCUGCAGUGGGGAAUAUUGGGCAAUGGGCGCAAGCCUGACCCAGCAACGCCGCGUGAAGGAAGAAGGCUUUCGGGUUGUAAACUUCUUUUAAGGGGGAAGAGCAGAAGACGGUACCCCUUGAAUAAGCCACGGCUAACUACGUGCCAGCAGCCGCGGUAAUACGUAGGUGGCAAGCGUUGUCCGGAUUUACUGGGUGUAAAGGGCGUGCAGCCGGAGAGGCAAGUCAGAUGUGAAAUCCGCGGGCUCAACCCGCGAACUGCAUUUGAAACUGCUUCCCUUGAGUAUCGGAGAGGUAACCGGAAUUCCUAGUGUAGCGGUGAAAUGCGUAGAUAUUAGGAAGAACACCAGUGGCGAAGGCGGGUUACUGGACGACAACUGACGGUGAGGCGCGAAAGCGUGGGGAGCAAACAGGAUUAGAUACCCGGGUAGUC